rnacentral:rRNA from 1 species
UACGUAGGGGGCAAGCGUUGUCCGGAAUCAUUGGGCGUAAAGAGCGUGUAGGCGGCCAGAAAAGUCCGCUGUGAAAACUCGAGGCUCAACUUCGAGCUGUCGGUGGAAACUUUCUGGCUAGAGUCCGGAAGAGGAGAAUGGAAUUCCUGGUGUAGCGGUGAAAUGCGCAGAUAUCAGGAAGAACACCCGUGGCGAAGGCGGGUCUCUGGG